rnacentral:tRNA from 2 species
GUUAUUAUAGCUUACAAACAAGCAUAGCACUGAAAAUGCUAAGACGGCCCCACCUAAUAACA